rnacentral:rRNA from 1 species
UACGUAGGGUGCAAGCGUUUAUCCGGAAUUAUUGGGCGUAAAGAGCUCGUAGGCGGUUUGUCGCGUCUGCUGUGAAAACUGGAGGCUCAACCUCCAGCCUGCAGUGGGUACGGGCAAACUAGAGUGCGGUAGGGGAGAUUGGAAUUCCUGGUGUAGCGGUGGAAUGUGCAGAUAUCAGGAGGAACACCGAUGGCGAAGGCAGAUCUCUGGGCCGUAACUGACGCUGAGGAGCGAAAGCAUGGGGAGCGAACAGG